rfam:TPA: Bos taurus chromosome 1, whole genome shotgun sequence.
UCCCUGCUGGCUCAGAUAGUAAAGAAUCUGCUUGCAAUGCAGGAGUUCCAGGUUCAGUUCCUGGGUUUGGAA